GGAACCAAGAGAGGCACAGGACAGACAAGUAACCCUUUCCGCCCCUUUGGCUUUGGAGCUCAGAGCACCUGCCAGCCAGGUCCUGGAUCCUACCUUAGUCACGACCUCAGGAGCACAGAGGUCCCCUGCGGAGGAAUCCCAGGAACCUGCAAGGCUUCUGACCACACCCCAAAGGCAUCUCAGGGCAUUCGCUCCCUCUGCCAGCUGGGACCCUAGUCACCCUUCAGGGACCAGCUGAAAUCUGUAAAAUCUUGCCCAACUCUUCUAUCCCAAACUAGCCUUUCCUUCCUUUGUCUACACUGAGAAGUAUAUUACUAAUCUUUUAAGUUUCUCUCCACGGUCAGCCUUGGCCCCUAGUAGUGGCUUAAUAAGUAUGUACCACGUUGAACCAAACCAACACAUCUGAUCCGGCAGGUCCGUUCUUCCCAAGGUGGACCGCCAGCCCUCCUGGACACCUCACAUGAAUCAUCAUGACACUGACAGGUCUGGGGGUUGCCACAAAGAGCUUGUGCCCAAGUCAAACAAGGAGAUAGCUUUGACACAUGAAAAUCCAUCUUUGUAGGUAGAAAAAGACGUAAAGUAAUGACUCAGAGGAACACUGAAAAGACAAAGUCGUGUUACAUCUUCUUUUCAACGUUCCCAUUGUCCCUGUGUUAAAUAUCUAAGCACCAAGUUUUGCCCUUGAAAUGCUGUACUGGCUCCCAGCUUGGUGACUUUUUUUUUAUUGAAGUCUAGUUGAUUUACAAUGUUGUGUGAAUUACUACUGUACAGCGAAGUGACUCAGUUUUUGACUUUUUAAAAUGUUC